AUUUUAGUGACUGUGCCCAGCAUUCAAGAGGCACUUGCUUUACUUCAGGACGCUGUUUUCCUAGAGACAUUAGCACUCAGCCGAUGGAUAGAGGAAGUCCCACUUGAUUACUCUUUAUCUAAAAAAUGACACGGAUCCUGAUUCUCUCAAGCAAAUCCAUCUUUAUAGAGUACUUUAACCCUCAGAAGAGACUCUUAUGAUACAUUAGAACCAAUAAAUCCAAUUAGCCUCGUUGCAUUUAACAGGACAAAUGAUGCAAAUAGAUUUAAUUAAACACAAAGUAUCCUCUUUCAAUGAACUUUCACUUGUCAGUUUUUAAAUCUGAGUUUGAUUGUAAACGCAUUCAUACUUAAAAUUGUCAGUUUAUGUAACUAUACAUAAUUUUCAUAUAAUCUCUUUGUCAUGUUAUGUUUGCAUUGCUGUAUUAAGCAGUCCUUGUUUAGAGAUAAUACAUUUGUUUUCCAGUAAGUGCCCUCUUUCUUGGUUUCAUAAUUUGUUCAAAUGCAUUUCUGUCUCAGCUCUCCCUGUUGAAACAGGAAGUAGAGGAAGGAUUGCUGCAUGUUUUUAUUUAUUUAUUUAUUUGUUUAUUUUUUUACAGGCAGAGGUAGUGACUGAAGACUAUUUACGUAAUCCUUGAUAUUAUAUUGCUUUGUGUUUUAUUGCCAAACUCAGCUAAGUCACCAACUGAUGACUUAAGUUGAGAAGUUUAAUUUGUUUGUUAACCCAUAAUAGCUAUUAAAAUAUAAAAAUAGUUUAUGAUAA